GCAGUCGAGCGGAUGAGAGGAGCUUGCUCUUCGAUUCAGCGGCGGACGGGUGAGUAAUGCCUAGGAAUCUGCCUAGUAGUGGGGGACAACGUUUCGAAAGGAACGCUAAUACCGCAUACGUCCUACGGGAGAAAGUGGGGGAUCUUCGGACCUCACGCUAUUAGAUGAGCCUAGGUCGGAUUAGCUAGUUGGUAGGGUAAAGGCCUACCAAGGCGACGAUCCGUAACUGGUCUGAGAGGAUGAUCAGUCACACUGGAACUGAGACACGGUCCAGACUCCUACGGGAGGCAGCAGUGGGGAAUAUUGGACAAUGGGCGAAAGCCUGAUCCAGCCAUGCCGCGUGUGUGAAGAAGGCCUUCGGGUCGUAAAGCACUUUAAGUUGGGAGGAAGGGCUCAUAGCGAAUACCUGUGAGUUUUGACGUUACCAACAGAAUAAGCACCGGCUAACUUCGUGCCAGCAGCCGCGGUAAUACGAAGGGUGCAAGCGUUAAUCGGAAUUACUGGGCGUAAAGCGCGCGUAGGUGGCUUGAUAAGUUGGAUGUGAAAUCCCCGGGCUCAACCUGGGAACUGCAUCCAAAACUGUCUGGCUAGAGUGCGGUAGAGGGUAGUGGAAUUUCCAGUGUAGCGGUGAAAUGCGUAGAUAUUGGAAGGAACACCAGUGGCGAAGGCGACUACCUGGACUGACACUGACACUGAGGUGCGAAAGCGUGGGGAGCAAACAGGAUUAGAUACC
rnacentral:rRNA from 1 species